rnacentral:rRNA from 1 species
AUUGAACGCUGGCGGCAGGCCUAACACAUGCAAGUCGAACGAGUGGCGGACGGGUGAGUAAUGUCUGGGAAACUGCCUGAUGGAGGGGGAUAACUACUGGAAACGGUAGCUAAUACCGCAUACCAUCGGAUGUGCCCAGAGGGGAUUAGCUAGUAGGUGGGGUAAAGGCUCACCUAGGCGACGAUCCCUAGCUGGUCUGAGAGGGUGACCGGCCACACUGGGACUGAGACACGGCCCAGACUCCUACGGGAGGCAGCAGUAGGGAAUAUUUGACAAGGGGCGAAAGCCUGAUUGAGCCAUGCCGCGUGUUUGAAGAAGGCCUUCGGGUUGUAAAAGUCUUUUGGCGGGGAAGCGGUACCCGCAGAAGAAGCACCGGCUAACUCCGUGCCAGCAGCCGCGGUAAUAC